CUCCAGGCGGGCAGGCCCGGCCGCAGCCCCCCGGUGCCCCGGGCGGGCGGCGCCCGCCUCAGCCCGCGGGGCCGGCAGGGGGCGCUCUGGCUCCGGGAACGCGGAGCCGGCGUCGCCGCCGCUCCGGCCGCGUCCCGGGCCCCGGCCCCUCUGCGGGCGGCCUGGGGCGGCGGCGCCGCCCCGCUCCCUCCUCCGUGCGGGGACGGGACGGGACGGGAAGGGACGGGACGGGCGGCGGCCCCGGGCACCCGGCAGGAAUCCUGGUAAAAUGCAGUGAAGGAUUUAAGGUCAUCAUCUGUCUCUCCCUAACUUCUGACAUCUCUUUAUAACAAGAAAGAGUCACAGCCAACUGUAACAGGAGGGCAACACAAUGAAUCCCGGGAAGAAGGCAACUCUUGGUAUGAGUGCAAAACUCAGAAGAGGUCUGUGCCGAAUAAGAGCAAGAACACAGCUGCACAAGACUCGGCACACUUCUCAUAGACAAAAUGCAAUGAAGGGAAAGAUGACACUUUAAGCUAAAUCAGACAUCAUUAUGCAAUACUCCUCCCAUUCAGCUUGCCCUAGCAGGAAUAUGUACGUGCAGCAGCAGCACUUGGGACAUGAAGAACUCCUUUGAAAGUAGAUGUGUUUCCCAGUGUUUGAGGUGUGGAUGGAGAAUAAAAAAAAAAAACGGCUGUCCCUGCAGCGGUGCCCCCAGCAGCAAUGGCUUCUGUGAAGACCUGCUUUUGUGUCCUUAAUGAGAAGACCAACAUCCACUGCCUGAGAAGGUUUCCAGAGGUUGGGCAGAACCAGUCAGCAGCAUAAACACCCAAGCUGCAGCCAGGAGACCCAACGGAAGUACAUGGACAAAACCGUCCACAUUCCCUCUACCUGUGAAGACGAGGCAGCGAGGCACGUGUCACCUCCCUCUCUGACGUGAGGCCUGAAAGUCAUUAGGGAAAGGCCUGUCCUGAGGACUGCAUGGCUGCACGUACACAUGUAUGCACACACAGUCGUAAAUGGGAGCUUGUGCAGGGUCCGUGCUGCACUGGGCUGUGGAAGUAAGCUUUUCUCUUUCAGACAGACCAAUGUGAACGAUUCCUGGGGGUGUUAGGUGGGUGAUCGUGUCCUCCACCCUCAGCCUCUCUACUGUUUUUAUUUUGGCUUCCAAGACCUGAAAUACUGGAGGUGUUAAGAGGUGAUACUACAGUCAAAGCCAUCUUAUUGACAAAAGGGAACACACUGCAUGUAUGGACCUAAGAAUUUAUUGUUAGACUAAUAAAUGUUUUAAAUAUCUAAGAGUCAAAAUUACCAAAUUAAUACAGGAAGGCCUCAUUAAAAAUAGAGUUAAAGCUGUUACACAGAAUUUCCCUGUUCUCUUGUGUUGUGCUUACUCCUCCAGGGUGCCUUUGGGUCUGAAGAUUGACACUUUGGUAUUUCUCAGAAGGAAUGGAGGAGUAUUAUGAGACAUACUGAGCAUAAAUGACAAUGUUUAUAAAGUGCUCUGAAGAUGCAAAAGAUAUGUAAGUACAGCUGAUGUCACCUGACAACAUUUGCUUACUAUUAAGGGUAUAUUUAUCUCUUAAUUAAAUUAGAUAUGAUGCCUUAGUUAAUAAUGCAAUGAUUUUUAACAUCCAUUUCCCAGUUUGCAUGUUCAGUAACUGUUUGCACAAGAUACAUAAUCAUGUGCAUCACCACAGCAGAAAGGAAUAUCAAACCCCUGCAAAGCAGUUCUGAAGUUGGAAAAAGCUUUUAUUAACUUUUAAUGUCCCCAUCUUUCAUGUGGAGAGGUGGGCAUUCAGCAGCCAGGUGUGACUGCAGUCAGUUGUGGUCACCCCAUGCCAGCAAAGACUGCCUGUUGUCCACACUGCUUGCCUGAACAUUGCUGCAGCUUCUGUUGUUGCUGGUUUUAUGGUGACUUUUAAAAAGUCUCAUUUACUUUUUCUUGUGGUGGAAAAGCUAUGGUUCUUGGUGAGUAGACACAUGCAGUAUUCCCAUGGACAAGCUAUUUGAAAAAUACAGGUUAUAAAAUAAACACAAUUUAAAAAAAUAAAUGUAUUUGUUUUAGACCAGAAGGAGCCAAAUUCAGCAUUAAAAUUAUUAUUAUUGUAGCUGAUUUAAUCAUUUGUUUAUCUUCAUUUCUAUUUCUGCUGCUGUGAGUCUUGUUGUUUAUAGCUUUUCAGCCAGAAGCCUAUCCCGAAGGAAAUUACUGUCAGCAGCCAAAAAGAGUAUCAGUAAUUCAUCCUCAAGCACCGUCAACUUAAUUCUAAAGUGAUGUCACUGCUUUACAAGUUCAGGCUAAAGUGUCAUUCUCUCUUUGUAAUUAGCAUGAAGACUAUCCUUCAGUCAAAACUAGCCACCUGGAAAGUUUCAGCUUGUAAUAUGCAGCUUUUUUGUGAAUUAUGAAUGUGCAAAAAAAGAGACCUUUCUCCCCACACCCCCUUCCUUGCAUAAUUCAAAUAUGAAUGAAUGAAUUUUAUUCAGGCUUACAAAAAAAAAAUAAAAAAAAAAUAAAAUCAUAUUUCAGCUGAUAACAAGCAUGAGAAAUUUCAGAUGAAAGGGAUUUUUUUUAAAGAAUAUUAUGAGCAUGGGAGAACAGCAGGUUAAGAUGGAAGGCUCAGUGCAGCCUUAGCUAUAACAAUUGCUAGCAAGCAAAUACUAUAUCCAAGCACUAAAUCUUGCUUUGUGCUGCCCUGGUGCACAGUAGUGGGGAGAGAAUAGAAUAAUAAAAGCCGGUCCCCUUAUGCAAACAGCAGGGCAUAGCACUCAACAGAAUACAAGAAGAAGGUGAGCCUGCCUACUGUUCUGGCUUGCUAACCGUAUUCCUGAGGUCUGUGGGUUAGUUGUCACCCCUAGCUCCAGUCAGCUAGCAAAUGUACUUCAAACAAUAGCAAGGGGCACAUUUUGGGCCUUUCCAGAAGAACACUGUACCAAUUCUUCGCCUCCAAAUACACUGUUCUGUUAAAUAAAGUAUUUGAAGGAAGUUCAUAUAAGCAACACGGUGGUUUAACAGGUCAAAAAGGGAGUGGAAGAGCUGCUAGAUUUUUUCUGAUUAACUGUGUAUUUUAAAAAAUACAGAGCUGUGAAGAAGGCAUGACGUGCAAGCCCUCACUUACCGCCCUGCUUUUCAAGUGAAGCACCCCCAGAUUUCAGCUCAUGCCAAAACCACUUUGAAGGUGAACUUUCACAAGAACUAAAGAUUGUGAUCUGGAACACCUUUCUGCACUGUGUUUUCUCUUGCUCCUACUACUGCUCUGGUGAGAAGUCUGUCUCAUAUUUUCUGCCCAGAAAACAAUAUUAAAGAAGCAUUCACUUACUGCUCAUAAAAACCUGUCCACCACUGUGGCUAAAGACUAAUGAGCACUUCAGGAUUUAUGCUUGGCAAGCCCAGACAUAAAAAAUAUCUUCUAUUCUGACAAGAGUUGCCUGUUGCAAGUUGAAUUUGGCAGUAAGUGACUGAAAUUGAGUUGUCAGCAUCCUCUUGCAUAGUAGGAAAAGUUGUUGCUUUCUUGUGCAGAUGCAAGAGUUUCUGUGGGAAAACAGAACAUAAUCAUGGUUCUGAAUGUCUCUGUGGAUUGGUAAUGUCUCUAAUACAUAGAUCACUUGUGCAAAUUCAGUCCCAGCUGGAUGGGAAAUUAUUGAAAAUGGUUGUUGUUUGAUUGAUAUAAAAUGAGUUGUCAGCUUGAUUCAAUGCCUCCAGGGCAGAUGUCCACAGCGUAAUUGGCACCUGUCAGAAGCAAAGAAUUCCUUGGUACAGAGUAACAGCUACUCAGGCAGCCACCCCAAAAUAGUCCUUGCGUGCCAGGGCUUGGAGGGAAGGCAGGCAAAAAUAGUUUCUACUUUCAGGCAGAAUCUUUUAUGCCAUAAAAUCGGUACGAGAUUUGACAUGACACUUGGUGCAAGGUUUUUCUUGGCUAGAGACUAUCAGCCAGCUCCCCUGCUGUUUGGGCAACACUUUCCCUAAGAAUCAGAGGAAAGCACAUACAUUAAGAUAUUUGUUAAUAUCGUCAUGGUAAGGGUAUAUUUAUAAAGAUUUUUUUUACGUAUUUACUUACUAAAAGACAUGCUGUUAACAAUUUUAUUUUCCUACAUCUUGAGCAAUUCUCCUCACUGCAAUGACAACCAUACAACUAGGGAAAUAAGAGAAAGUCUUCUCAGAAAAAAAAUAUGGUAAAGAAACCACCACAUCUGACAGCACAACAGUCAGUACUGAACUGUUUGCUAAUGGUAAGGAGCAACCCAUUGUUUACCACUGACUGGAAUAAAACUGAUUUUUUCCUACAAGUCACCAAAUAGCUGUCAUAUGGUUGUUACUGCCUUUGACCGAGUCUGGUACAGCUAACAACAGGAAUGAAUUCAAUCUCCCGUCACCAAUCUGUCGAGCUGGCCACCUUCUUCAUGGAGCUGCUGCUCUGGGAGGUGCCAGCUGAAGGGCUUUCCAUUAAAAUUCAUUUUACUGUCUUCAUCUAGCGAAUGGCUCAACUUUCCUUCUUUCAUCUCUGUUUCCUCCUUUAGAUUAUUUUUCAUUAUGCCUCCCCCCCCAACGUACAGACACUUUUCCUUUCAUCUCUAUAUGUAUGCUAUUCCAGCACUUGUCAGCCACAGCAGGAGGGACAUGGUAGAACCAAACAAUAUGAUAUGUUAGGUGGAAGAAAAUAUUAUUAUCAGACGCCUCGGAACAAUCAUUUAUUGUCACACUUUAAAGAGGUCUGCUAUGUUAUUUAUUUUAUUAUUCUGUAUUAGGUACAUGGUUUAAUUUUACAGGCAUUAUUAAUCACUAAAAUACAUUACACUUUCAGCCAGGAUGUUAACAUUUUAAAUGCAUUCAUCUUGCUUCUUUAAACAGAAACAAUGGGCCUUCUGCAGUGCCCUCCCUCCCCUUUAGUCAAUAAAUCCUUGCUAUUGAUUCAGGAAAUAACUCUAAGCACUGUUUUAUAUUUUAAGUUCUACUGGCCAGGCACAGCCAUAUAAUUUUGCUUAAUAACAAAUGGAUCUUCUAUUUUUGCUGGUUACUAUGUGUUUGGUUAUCAAACUCACUUUGAAAGUAUUGGGUAGCAAAGCACAACACCUAUCAUGACAGAGAGGCACCACAAGAGAUUUCCUAAAUGAAUGUUACAAUAAAAGUAUU